rnacentral:misc_RNA from 1 species
GAUGAAGAAUGCAGCGAAAUGCGAUAAGUAAUGUGAAUUGCAGAAUUCAGUGAAUCAUCGAAUCUUUGAACGCACCUUGCGCCCUUUGGCUAUUCCGAAGGGCAUGCCUGUUUGAGUAUCAUGAACACCUCAACUCUCAUGGUUUGCCAUGAUGAGCUUGGACUUUGGGGGUCUUGCCGGCCUAUGGGUCGGCUCCUCUCAAAUUAAUCAGCUUGCCAGUGUUUGGUGGCAUCACAGGUGUGAUAACUAUCUACGCUUGUGGUUUUCCAUCAGGUAACCUUCAGUGAUGGAGGUUCGCUGGGGCUCAUAAAUGUCUCUCCUCAGUGAGGACAGCUUUUUUGAACGUUUGAUCUCAAAUCAGGUAGGACUACCCGCUGAACUUAAGCAUAUCAAUAAGCGGAGGA